AGCUUUGUGCAUUGGCAGUAUCAUAGCCAGUGAAGUUCACUGAAGGUACAGUUAUUGCUCUUUGAAAAUUAUUUCCAGGAGUAAAAAUAUCUUUCUGGGCUGUUCAGAAUUGCUCAAGGAGC
rnacentral:snRNA from 1 species